rnacentral:rRNA from 1 species
UUCCGGUUGAUCCCGCCGGAGGUCACCGUUAUCAGGUUUCGACUAAGCCAUGCGAGGCGCGAGAUAUCUGGUCUCGCCGAACUGCUCAGUAACACGUAGUCAACCUAACCUCAAGUGGGGGAUAAUCUCGGGAAACUGAGGCUAAUACCCCAUAGUCGUCGAACGCUGGAAUGCAUCGACAACCAAAGCCACGGCGCUUGAGGGUGGGACUGCGACCUAUCAUGGUAGUUGUGAGUAUAAGAUACUCACAAGCCUAUAACGGGUAGGGGCCAUGAGAGUGGGAGCCUCGAGAUGCAUUCUGAGACAUGAAUGCAGGUCCUACGGGACGCAGCAGGCGCGAAAACUUUCCAAUAGCUUAGCGGCUGAGAGGGGAAGCCUGAGUGGAUACGUUUUGCGUAUUCUUUUGCUUUGUCUAAACAACAAGGCGAAUAAGUGGUGGGUAAGACGGGUGGCAGCCGCCGCGGUAAUACCCGCGCCACGAAUGGUGACCGCGAUUAUUGGGUCUAAAGCGUCCGUAGCCGGUUUCACAAGUUCUUGGUUAAAUCCAGCAGCUAACUGUUGGUAUGCUGAGAAUACUGUCAAACUUGAGAUUGGGAGAGGGUAGGGGUAUUCCACGUGUAGGGGUUAAAUCCUUUAAUCCGUGGAAGACCACCGGUGGCGAAGGCGCCUACCUAGAACAAGUCUGACGGUGAGGGACGAAAGCUAGGGGAGCAAAUCUAAUCUUUCGNNNNNNNGAUGAGAGCUUAAACGGGAUUAGAUACCCCGAUAGUCCUAGCUGUAAACGAUGCCCGUUUGAUGUUGCAAACUCUACGGGAGUUUGCAGUGUCGGAGCGUAGUGUUAAACGGGCCACCUGGGGAGUACGGCCGCAAGGUUGAAACUUAAGGAAUUGGCGGG